UACGUAGGGUGCAAGCGUUAAUCGGAAUUACUGGGCGUAAAGCGUGCGUAGGCGGUUCGCUAAGACAGAUGUGAAAUCCCCGGGCUUAACCUGGGAACUGCAUUUGUGACUGGCGGGCUAGAGUAUGGCAGAGGGGGGUAGAAUUCCACGUGUAGCAGUGAAAUGCGUAGAGAUGUGGAGGAAUACCGAUGGCGAAGGCAGCCCCCUGGGCCAAUACUGACGCUCAUGCACGAAAGCGUGGGGAGCAAACAGG
rnacentral:rRNA from 1 species